rnacentral:rRNA from 1 species
CUUUCCGCUACACGAAGCGUUUCUAUUUGCAUCGUUGUUUUUCCCCGGAGCUUGCUCCACCGGAAAAAGAGGAGUGGCGAACGGGUGAGUAACACGUGGGUAACCUGCCCAUCAGAAGGGGAUAACACUUGGAAACAGGUGCUAAUACCGUAUAACAAUCGAAACCGCAUGGUUUUGAUUUGAAAGGCGCUUUCGGGUGUCGCUGAUGGAUGGACCCGCGGUGCAUUAGCUAGUUGGUGAGGUAACGGCUCACCAAGGCGACGAUGCAUAGCCGACCUGAGAGGGUGAUCGGCCACAUUGGGACUGAGACACGGCCCAAACUCCUACGGGAGGCAGCAGUAGGGAAUCUUCGGCAAUGGACGAAAGUCUGACCGAGCAACGCCGCGKKRAGGUGAAGAAGGUUUUCGGAUCGUAAAACUCUGUUGUUAGAGAAGAACAAGGAUGAGAGUAACUGUUCAUCCCUUGACGGUAUCUAACCAGAAAGCCACGGCUAACUACGUGCCAGCAGCCGCGGUAAUACGUAGGUGGCAAGCGUUGUCCGGAUUUAUUGGGCGUAAAGCGAGCGCAGGCGGUUUCUUAAGUCUGAUGUGAAAGCCCCCGGCUCAACCGGGGAGGGUCAUUGGAAACUGGGAGACUUGAGUGCAGAAGAGGAGAGUGGAAUUCCAUGUGUAGCGGUGAAAUGCGUAGAUAUAUGGAGGAACACCAGUGGCGAAGGCGGCUCUCUGGUCUGUAACUGACGCUGAGGCUCGAAAGCGUGGGGAGCAAACAGGAUUAGAUACCCUGGUAGUCCACGCCGUAAACGAUGAGUGCUAAGUGUUGGAGGGUUUCCGCCCUUCAGUGCUGCAGCUAACGCAUUAAGCACUCCGCCUGGGGAGUACGACCGCAAGGUUGAAACUCAAAGGAAUUGACGGGGGCCCGCACAAGCGGUGGAGCAUGUGGUUUAAUUCGAAGCAACGCGAAGAACCUUACCAGGUCUUGACAUCCUUUGACCACUCUAGAGAUAGAGCUUCCCCUUCGGGGGCAAAGUGACAGGUGGUGCAUGGUUGUCGUCAGCUCGUGUCGUGAGAUGUUGGGUUAAGUCCCGCAACGAGCGCAACCCUUAUUGUUAGUUGCCAUCAUUUAGUUGGGCACUCUAGCAAGACUGCCGGUGACAAACCGGAGGAAGGUGGGGAUGACGUCAAAUCAUCAUGCCCCUUAUGACCUGGGCUACACACGUGCUACAAUGGGAAGUACAACGAGUCGCAAAGUCGCGAGGCUAAGCUAAUCUCUUAAAGCUUCUCUCAGUUCGGAUUGUAGGCUGCAACUCGCCUACAUGAAGCCGGAAUCGCUAGUAAUCGCGGAUCAGCACGCCGCGGUGAAUACGUUCCCGGGCCUUGUACACACCGCCCGUCACACCACGAGAGUUUGUAACACCCGAAGUCGGUGAGGUAACCUUUGGAGCCAGCCGCCCUAAAGGGGA